AUGAGCGCGGGCAUGGGUGGCUUCUGGCCGGAGCCGUGGCUGCCGCAGUCGCUCGGCUCCCCGGGCCUGGCCCUCGCCGCGGGCCUGCUGCUGCUGGUCUUGUGCCUGAGCGCGCGGCGCACCAGGAGACGUGGUGAGCCUCCAUUGAUAAAAGGCUGGCUUCCUUACUUUGGACAAGCCCUGAAAUUACAAAAAGAUCCUCUGGGUUUCAUGACUACUCUUCAAAAGCAGUAUGGCGACAUUUUCACUCUUCUCCUUGGAGGAAAGUAUAUAACAUUUAUCCUGGAUCCUUUCCACUACACAUCAGUGGCAAAAAAUCAAAAAUUAAGCUUUCAAAUAUUUACUAAUAAAUUCUUAAAGAGAGUAUUUUCUAUCAAAAAGAUGAUAACAGAUUCUGACCUCAUCGACGAGAUUCAUAGUACCUAUCAAUUUUUACAAGGGAAGCAUUUGGACAUACUGAUGGAAAGCACAAUGCAGAAUCUGAAACAAGUUUUUGAACCCCAACUUUUAAAAACCACAAGCUGGAGCACGGAAUAUUUGUUGCCAUUCUGCAACUCAGUGAUAUUCGAAAUGACAUUUGCAACCAUAUAUGGAAAUGUUCUUGCUGAUGAUAAGAAAACAUUUAUUACUGAGUUAAAAGAUGAUUUUUCAAAAUUUGAUGAAAAAUUCACACAUUUAGCAUCAGGCAUACCCAUUGAGCUUCUAGGAAACCUCAAGUCUGUUCGAACUAAACUUAUAAAAGACUUGACAGUAGAAAGCUUAGCUAAGUUACAAGGACUAUCUGAAGUUGUUCAAAGAAGGAAUGAUAUCCUGGAGAAAUACUAUAUGCCCAAGGACACUGAAAUAGGAGCACAUCAUUUAGGCUUGCUCUGGGCCUCUGUGACAAACACUGUUCCAACCAUGUUCUGGGCAAUGUAUUACCUUCUACGGCACCCGAAAGCUAUGGCCGUGCUGCGUGACGAAAUUGACCAUUUGCUGCAGUCAACAGGUCAAAAGAAAGGGCCCGGAUUUUCCAUCUACCUCACCAGAGAACAAUUGGACAGCCUGGUCUACCUUGAAAGUACCAUUCUUGAGGUUUUGCGACUCUGCUCCUUUUCUGGCAUCUUUCGUUUCGUUCAAGAGGACUUGACACUUCAUUUAGAGAGCCAGGACUGCUGUCUGCGAAAGGGAGACUUUGUUGUCAUCUUUCCUCCCAUCUUACACCACGACCCUGAAAUCUUUGAAGCUCCAGAACUGGAGUUAAUGAAUAUCAAAGACUGGAAAUUAAUCCACCCUGGCUCAUCCCUUAAUACCACUUCAGAGGUUCACCACCUGCAUGCAAAUUGCAAGCAGUCAUCUUCUGCCUGUGCUUCUCAGGGAGUCAGGUUGUUGCUGCAGUGGUUUUUAUAUGUUAAAUGCCAUGUUUCAAAGAGAGACUUCCAUGCGCUUUCUGAGCAGUUUAGAGCUGAACCAUUUCUAAACCCAGUUUCUAAGGUGUUCGACAGCCAGGCUGGUUUAAAAUCUGGUUGUAUUUUGGAAAUUAAUUAGAAAGGGACAGACUUCAAAUGUAAUGAGAUAGUUUACAUUUAUUUAAUCAGCAAAGACAAAAUUUCCUAAGUGAGGGGAGAAUAUACGUAUAGUUUCUGUGUGUUUCAGAAGAGGUCUUACUUAACUAAUGAUGGCAAAUCAGAAGUUGGGUAUUAGUGAGUGAAUGAACAUUGUGCAGACAACAAGCUUCAUCUCUAUAUUUGUAAAUAUAAAAAAAAAUUCCACACAUAGUUAGGUGUCCAAUAAAUAAAGCAAGUAAAUAGCUAAUCUUUGAAAA
rnacentral:lncRNA from 1 species